UUUAACUGGGACUGCAAGUUCACACGCAUAUUUAAAAUUGGUUCCAACCGCUCCUAACCAGGAUAGAGUUGAAAGUUGAAAAACUUGUUUCAGCUACAGCCCUGCGUAUAAAGUAUAGGUUUGUUGCUUCUUAACGCCACUACAACAAAUACUUUACAGCAGUUAGCAGAUGACAAACACACUAAGGGUCGCACUUCAAUCACGUUGGGACGUUUUAGCACUACUAGAUCACGUAUCUUAGCAAGCAAAAAAGGAAAUAAUAAGAUUUACUUUUAAGAUGACAAACUUUGCACACAUGGUCAGGUGAUAUUGUUUUGCCCUCUGAACUCGACCAGCAGUAGCGUUUGUCGUUCGGUAGCGCUGUGAACUUGAAGCUAACAGGCAAAAUAUACCCGUAGCUUUUCGAGAUGCUAACGCCAGAUUAAGAAUAGGAGAUAUUGAAAACUUUACGUCAGUGUUGUUCAGUAUAAUCUGGAAGUUUUUAUGUGAAAUGUAAGUCACAGCAUAUUCGCUAAGGUGCAGCAGAUUUUGGUUAACUUCAAACGAUGCAGCGAAAAACUAGCUAUUUAGCUCAGAACAUUAGCAUUAGCCGUUGAUGAGCAUUUUAGCCCCGGCAACAACGUGAAUCGUCCCGUCAGUUUAACCUCCAAUAUUCCAACUACCGGAAAAUAUUUCAGCUGGAGCUCUCCAAGAUUUUUUGACAUCCCUGUGCCGCAGAUCUGAUGGACAAACUCUGGAGCUGGACCUUGAAUUUCCUUUGUGAGCCAACAGCCAUCAAACUGACUGCCUUGACUCUCAGAGGCUCCACUUUUUUCAAACGUCACUGCAGACACAAUAACAACCUGGCCAUAAAGCAUCUCGUCCAACAGAUGCUACACCGAAGACGACCACAGUCCAUUAUAGAGCCCGUUAAAUCCACUCCCAACCCACCGUCACCCCGGCCCCAGGCACUCUCCCCAGUGUUUUUGUCUCGUGGCACAGACGAGGACAGAGUUAUGGCCCAGAGUCACUCGUCAGAGAGAAGCCGUGGCACGGCUGACAAUGCUGCUCCAUAAAAAAAAGGAACGCCUGCUUCUGUCAGGACAGAUGUUUUUUUUUUUUUUUAAUCCUGUGACAGAUGUGUUCAUCAUCAUGAGGGUUUGCUCUUUUUGAGCAGAUUUGCUUUAGAGACCAGCGUGUGAACAUAUGGACACAUCUGAGAUUGGAAAAUGAAGCGUGAAAUAAGGUGGAGCUCUCAAACCUCUGGUUCACGGCCUAGGUGGUGGGUAUUGAGAAGUAUUCUAAUGAGAAGUUCCUAAACAUCUCUUUUCAAUGAUAUGCAGCGUGAUUACAGUGAACUCCGGGUGUGGCAGACUGAGAAAUUAGACCACAGAAGCUGCGGAAAACGUUUUCCACCGUGCUUGAAAACAAAUGUUUAUUUUAGUGAUAAACUGCAGCAGUCGACAUCAAAAGUGACAACCAGCACCAAGGACUGAUGCCACAUCCAUCUGAAGAAACGUGUUCGACUGGAAUUCUUUAUUUUGUGUUCAAUCCCCGGCCUCAUGCAUUAAACCAACGUUAAUCCAACACAAAUCCGAGUGAUUUUCCUAAACUAAUCCCUAAAUUAUGUGCAAAUCCCAAAUUGUGUGUAGAUUUUGAAGAACCCACUAGCAGUGGCUCCGUCCUUGACUUUCAUAUUUAUUUCCUCGGCUAACCGUUUCCAAACAUUUCAUCCAGCUUUCUGCGUGGAAGCGGAGCCAAAAGCAGAGUUCUGGCAGUGGCUUCUGUUUUAAUGGGACACAAGUGUGUUUAGAAUUCUGAGCCUAAAGAAUGAGAAAGUCUCUGGUCUGCGUUUUCCAUCUGAAGUUUACUGUUUCAGAAGGAACUGGAGUGGAAUGAGGUACAGAGGCAGAAUGUGCUGACGCCGUCGAUGUGGCCCAACCACAGAUUGAACCUCCGCAGGAGAAACGACGGCUCCUGUGACCAAACAAGGGAUGUUCUGAUAACACUGCAGCGUGAUGACUAUUAUUUCACCAUUGAUGAAUAAACGAAGUUGAACUGAAUCCAUUUUCCUACGAUCUAUACACAUUCCUGUGUUGAUGGAACAAAGUAUUGAGUUUCAAGAACGCUGGAAAAUGUUUUUUUUUAAUAGGAGCGGUUGUUCCAUCCUGACCUGACCACAGCAAAUCACCAGCCUCCGGUUCACUGUAUUCCUCCCCUACGGCUUCACUAACCAUCUUCACGUCUUCACUCCAUCCUCGAAUCAUUUCUUAGGUCUUUUUCUUUGUAUCCAACACGGCAAAUCUCCACCUUUUCACACCUGUCGGAUUCCAGAUCUGGAUCAGAGACCUCCGUCUCCUCCAACAUAGUCUUUCUGAGGAUUUUUAUUUCAUUUUCCAAACAUGAAUCAGUUUGUCAGGUCAAACACAAGGGCCAAAUGACUGUGAACUAAAACUAAAUGGCACAUAUAUCAAGACCUGACUUGGGGAUGUUCUUAAACCUGAGGGACUUGAACUGUAAUGUAAUAUAGACUUGGAAUCUAUUAAAAGACUCUCA